CGGGACACGUGGUAUCCUGUCUGAAUAUGGGGGGACCAUCCUCCAAGGCUAAAUACUCCUGACUGACCGAUAGUGAACCAGUACCGUGAGGGAAAGGCGAAAAGAACCCCGGCGAGGGGAGUGAAAAAGAACCUGAAACCGUGUACGUACAAGCAGUGGGAGCACGCUUAGGCGUGUGACUGCGUACCUUUUGUAUAAUGGGUCAGCGACUUAUAUUCUGUAGCAAGGUUAACCGAAUAGGGGAGCCGAAGGGAAACCGAGUCUUAACUGGGCGUUAAGUUGCAGGGUAUAGACCCGAAACCCGGUGAUCUAGCCAUGGGCAGGUUGAAGGUUGGGUAACACUAACUGGAGGACCGAACCGACUAAUGUUGAAAAAUUAGCGGAUGACUUGUGGCUGGGGGUGAAAGGCCAAUCAAACCGGGAGAUAGCUGGUUCUCCCCGAAAGCUAUUUAGGUAGCGCCUCGUGAAUUCAUCUCCGGGGGUAGAGCACUGUUUCGGCAAGGGGGUCAUCCCGACUUACCAACCCGAUGCAAACUGCGAAUACCGGAGAAUGUUAUCACGGGAGACACACGGCGGGUGCUAACGUCCGUCGUGAAGAGGGAAACAACCCAGACCGCCAGCUAAGGUCCCAAAGUCAUGGUUAAGUGGGAAACGAUGUGGGAAGGCCCAGACAGCCAGGAUGUUGGCUUAGAAGCAGCCAUCAUUUAAAGAAAGCGUAAUAGCUCACUGGUCGAGUCGGCCUGCGCGGAAGAUGUAACGGGGCUAAACCAUGCACCGAAGCUGCGGCAGCGACGCUGAUGCGUUGUUGGGUAGGGGAGCGUUCUGUAAGCCUGCGAAGGUGUGCUGUGAGGCAUGCUGGAGGUAUCAGAAGUGCGAAUGCUGACAUAAGUAACGAUAAAGCGGGUGAAAAGCCCGCUCGCCGGAAGACCAAGGGUUCCUGUCCAACGUUAAUCGGGGCAGGGUGAGUCGACCCCUAAGGCGAGGCCGAAAGGCGUAGUCGAUGGGAAACAGGUUAAUAUUCCUGUACUUGGUGUUACUGCGAAGGGGGGACGGAGAAGGCUAUGUUGGCCGGGCGACGGUUGUCCCGGUUUAAGCGUGUAGGCUGGUUUUCCAGGCAAAUCCGGAAAACUAAGGCUGAGGCGUGAUGACGAGGCACUACGGUGCUGAAGCAACAAAUGCCCUGCUUCCAGGAAAAGCCUCUAAGCAUCAGGUAACAUCAAAUCGUACCCCAAACCGACACAGGUGGUCAGGUAGAGAAUACCAAGGCGCUUGAGAGAACUCGGGUGAAGGAACUAGGCAAAAUGGUGCCGUAACUUCGGGAGAAGGCACGCUGAUAUGUAGGUGAAGUCCCUCGCGGAUGGAGCUGAAAUCAGUCGAAGAUACCAGCUGGCUGCAACUGUUUAUUAAAAACACAGCACUGUGCAAACACGAAAGUGGACGUAUACGGUGUGACGCCUGCCCGGUGCCGGAAGGUUAAUUGAUGGGGUCAGCGCAAGCGAAGCUCUUGAUCGAAGCCCCGGUAAACGGCGGCCGUAACUAUAACGGUCCUAAGGUAGCGAAAUUCCUUGUCGGGUAAGUUCCGACCUGCACGAAUGGCGUAAUGAUGGCCAGGCUGUCUCCACCCGAGACUCAGUGAAAUUGAACUCGCUGUGAAGAUGCAGUGUACCCGCGGCAAGACGGAAAGACCCCGUGAACCUUUACUAUAGCUUGACACUGAACAUUGAGC
rnacentral:rRNA from 1 species